rnacentral:rRNA from 1 species
GACAGAGGGUGCAAGCGUUGUUCGGAAUUACUGGGCGUAAAGCGCGUGUAGGUGGCAAGGCAAGUCGGGUGUGAAAGCCCUGGGCUCAACCCAGGAAGUGCACUCGAUACUGCCUCGCUAGAGUCCCGGAGAGGUUGGUGGAACUCUCGGUGUAGAGGUGAAAUUCGUAGAUAUCGAGAAGAACACCGGUGGCGAAGGCGGCCAACUGGACGGUGACUGACACUGAGACGCGAAAGCGUGGGGAGCAAACAGG